rnacentral:rRNA from 1 species
UCCGAAGGGGGCUAUCGUUGUUCGGAAUCACUGGGCGUAAAGCGCACGUAGGCGGAUUUGUAAGUCAGGGGUGAAAUCCCGGGGCUCAACCUCGGAACUGCCUUUGAUACUGCAAGUCUCGAGUUCGGGAGAGGUGAGUGGAAUUCCUAGUGUAGAGGUGAAAUUCGUAGAUAUUAGGAAGAACACCAGUGGCGAAGGCGGCUCACUGGCCCGAUACUGACGCUGAGGUGCGAAAGCGUGGGGAGAAAACAGG